rnacentral:rRNA from 1 species
UACGUAGGGGGCAAGCGUUAUCCGGAAUUACUGGGUGUAAAGGGAGCGUAGGCGGCAUGGUAAGUUAGAUGUGAAAGCCCGGGGCUUAACCCCGAGGAUUGCAUUUAAAACUAUCAAGCUAGAGUACAGGAGAGGAAAGCGGAAUUCCUAGUGUAGCGGUGAAAUGCGUAGAUAUUAGGAAGAACACCAGUGGCGAAGGCGGCUUUCUGGACUGAAACUGACGCUGAGGCUCGAAAGCGUGGGGAGCGAACAGGAUUAGAUACCCUGGUAGUCCACGCCGUAAACGAUGAGUGCUAGGUGUCGGAGGGGAACCUUCGGUGCCGCAGCAAACGCAAUAAGCACUCCACCUGGGGAGUACGAUCGCAAGAUUGAA